AAUCAGCCACUUUGCGUUAUAUAUUGGGGCAAAUGAGGUGUUAUACUGCUCGUAUAUUGAAUUUACUUGGGAUCUUCAGAUUUGCUGAGAAAGAGAUUUCCUUGAAGCUGGUCUAGUAAGCCCCAAGUACAUU